AACGAACGCUGGCGGCAGGCUUAACACAUGCAAGUCGAGCGCAUCCUUCGGGGUGAGCGGCGGACGGGUUAGUAACGCGUGGGAACGUGCCCUCAUCUACGGAAUAGCCUCGGGAAACUGAGAUUAAUGCCGUAUACGUUCAGAAAGGGAGAAAGAUGUGUCGGAGGAGGAUCGGCGCGCGUUGGAUUAGGAAUGUUGUGGGGUAAUGGCUCACCAAGUCGACGAUUCAUAGCUGGUUUGAGAGGCUGAUCAGCAACACUGGGACUGAGACACGGCCCAGACUCCUACGGGAGGCAGCGGUGAGGAAUCUUGGACAAUGGAGGCAACCCUGAUCCAGCCAUGCCGCGUGGACGAUUAAGGCCUUAGGGUUGUAAAGUCCUUUCGCCAGGGAAGAUAAUGACGGUACCAGGUAAAGAAGCCCCGGCUAACUCCGUGCCAGCAGCCGCCGUAACAC
rnacentral:rRNA from 1 species